CUGACGGAGCGACGCUGCGUGAAGGAUGACGGCCUGCGGGUUGUAAACUUCUUUUCUCGAAGAAGAAUAAAUGACGGUAUUCGAGGAAUAAGCAUCGGCUAACUCUGUGCCAGCAGCCGCGGUAAGACAGAGGAUGCAAGUGUUAUUCGGAUUGAUUGGGCGUAAAGCGUCUGUAGGCGGUUUGGAAAGUCUUUUGUGAAAUUCUUCAGCUCAACUGGGGGUCCGCAAAAGAAACUUCUAGGCUUGAGGGAAGUAGAGGUACAGGGAAUUUCCGGUGGAGCGGUGAAAUGCGUAGAUAUCGGAAGGAACACCAAUAUGGCGAAGGCACUGUACUGGGCUUUACCUGACGCUAAGAGACGAAAGCUAAAGGAGUGAUUAGGAUUAGAUACCCUAGUAAUUUUAGCCGUAAACGAUGGAAACUCACUGCCGAGCCGGUAUUCGGAGCGGUGGUCAAGCUAACGCGUGAAGUUUCCCGCCUGGGGACUACGCAUGCAAAUGUGAAACUCAAAGGAAUUGACGGGGACCCGCACAAGCGGUGGAGUAUGUGGUUUAAUUCGAUGCAACGCGAAAAACCUUACCAAGGUUUGAAAUCAUUUCAAAACUCUUUGAAAGAAGAGCCUCCUUCGGGAUGGAAUGACAGGUGGUGCAUGGCUGUCGUCAGCUCGUGUUGUGAAAUGUCAAGUUAAGUCUUGUAACGAGCGCAACCUAUGUUUUUUGUUGUUGUUUACAGUGCUUAAAAGAGACUGCCGCUCUACAGCGGAGGAAGGUGUGGAUGAUGUCAAGUCAGCAUGCCCCUUAUAUCUUGGG
rnacentral:rRNA from 1 species